UCCUGACGUGUCUAGGCGCUCCGGCUCUCCCGGCUGCCUGCCCCGUCCCAGCGCCCCAGCCCCAUUCUGCCCCGCGCUCUCUGCCCCUGUUCCGAGCUGGGAGGUGCUCGGCCCUCCUCACACGUGGCCGCGCUGCCGGUCGGUCACGGCUUUAGCCCCCCACUUUCCGGUCCAGCCGCAUCCCGUCGUCGCGGCGCCCCGACGGCCCGUGUGCCACAGACAGGGACGGCGCCAGCUCAUCCACAAGCUCCACAAAUACCUGGGAAGAUGCAGCCGCCUGAAAACUGCCGCGAGGGGAAAAGGCAAACUCCCUUUCGCUUGGGUCAGCAGUGAGCGCAGCAGAUUACCGGCUCCCACCGCACCCCACCCCCAGCCGCACCCAGCCCAGGCCCGUCCACCUCCGCCUCAAUCUGCCCCGAUCCCCCAAAAGGCAGGGCUGGCCCAGGAGCCUCCAGAACAGGACCUGGAUCGGUGGCACACUCCAGCCG